UACGAAGGGGGCUAGCGUUGUUCGGAAUUACUGGGCGUAAAGGGUUUGUAGGCGGUUGAACAAGUCAGAUGUGAAAGCCCAAGGCUUAACCUUGGAAUUGCAUUUGAAACUGUUCAGCUAGAGAAUGUUAGAGGAAAGUGGAAUUCCUAGUGUAGGAGUGAAAUCCGUAGAGAUUAGGAGGAAUAUCGAUGGCGAAGGCAGCUUUCUGGGACAUUUCUGACGCUGAGAAACGAAAGCGUGGGUAGCAAACAGG
rnacentral:rRNA from 1 species